CCUGGCCAUGUUAAAAUGGUUAGGCCACACGCCUAUUAAUUAUAUCUCAAAGGAGAUAUAAAAUACAACUAUAACAUUAAGUAUUUUAAAGGAAGGUUGAACUUCAAGGAAACGUAGUUGCCUUACGAAGAAAUAUGAAAUAGUGGUGAUUUACUUUCAAUUAAUGGGCUACAUCUU
rnacentral:sRNA from 12 species